UCUCACCUUCUAAUCUUUCAGGUACAACACAGGUAUCGUCAAAGUAGAGUUGAGAAUCUCUGUCGAAGGAGAAACCUGAAAGAAAAUACGUUUAUUCAGACGCACGUCCCCGGUAUGAAGGAAGACUACUCACAGCUAUCCGACUGGAAGUCUGGAACAAACUGCUCGUCGUCCGGCACCUGGGCUGUGGACGACACAGAUGGAGGAACGAGUGGUAGCAGCAGCUGCCAGAUGUGGUGGCGCCAAAAAAAACCUGGACAUCGCAUUCAAUGCUUUUUUUACCGCCUUCCUUUUCAACAAAUCCAUUUGAAGACCCGUGGAAACCUUCGUUCCUUACCUUCUGCGAUCCAGAGAUCCUGCAGCUGACUGAGAUCUUGGAAGAGUUCUGCGAAUCAGAAAGACCCAGAAGAAUAUCAGGGCACUGCGUCGAAAUCAUCGCCUUGAUGGUCAAGUCCGUCACGUACCUUCCGUGUCCUGGGCCAGCUCCGUGUCCACAAACUUCCUCUUCCGCUCGUUUGAAACCC